ensembl:lncRNA novel transcript
UGAUGAAAAAUUGCACAUACUCGCUGCAGCAAUAUAUCACCAUCAAGAAUAAAAAGGAAGACUACAUCUUAAAGAAACAGCCUUCAAAUGCCCCUCUACAGCUUUUCAGUAGCAUAAGAUAAAUUUGGAAUAGAAAUAAGCUACAGUUCUUAAGAACUAACACUCCUAAAAGAUUUAGAACAAAAGUUUAAAACAUAGUCUGGUUUAUGAAGAAGUUUUGUGCUACACCGGUUUUGUAAAAAUAUUUUGAAAAUCGUUAUAACUGUUUUUUUGUUCCAGCAAGUAUUGGACUAACUUGUUUCUACUUCAAUAAACCUUUGGAAAAACCAACCAGCAAACAACAACGAUUUUAAAAAUGCUUCUUGGGAUGAGUUGAAGAGAGAAUGGAAGAAACACUGAAAGGAAAUGUGAUACCAUGGAAAGUACACUGAACUGGGAAAUAGAAAGUAUGAGUUUUCAAUCCACCACCGAGCCCCUAUGUUACCUUAGCUGGGAUAUCUACCUUCUCCUGCCCUCAGACAUCAGAACUCUUGUUUCUCAGGCCUUCUGGCUCAGACUGAAUUACACAAGCUUUCCUGGAUCUCUGGCUUGCAGAUGACAUACCAUGGGACUUCACUGGCCUUCAUAUCUAAAUGGAAUUGGGAAAUUGAAGAAGAAAACUUCACAGAAGAAAUAAUAUUUGAUUUCAGAAUUGAAGAAUCAGCUGGAGUUUCCCAGGUAGCAAAACGGUGUCUUGCUGUUGUCGGCCCGGACUAGAGUGCAAUGGCGCGAUCUCGGCUCACCGCAACCUCUGCCUCCCGUGUUCCAGCAAUUCUCCUGCCUCAGCCUCCCGAGUAGCUGGGAUUACAGGCGCCCGCCACCACGCCCUGCUAUUUUUUGUAUUUUUUAGUAGAGACGAGGUUUCACCAUGUUGGCCAGGCUGGUCUCAAACUUCUGACCUCAGGUGAUCCGCCAGCCUCGUCCUCCCAAAGUGCUGGGAUUACAGGCGUGAGCCACCACGCCCAGCCUGAGCACAUAUUUUUAAGGAAUCCACAACGAAAACUAUGAGAACUAACAAGUGAAUUUAGUAAGACUGUAUAAUACAAGCCCCAUACAAAUGUAUAAGAACAUAUAAAAUUAAUUGUAUGUAUGUGUGCUAUCAACAAACAAUUGAAAAUUCAAAACACUAUUUGUAAUCAUAGCAAAAUCUAUAAAAUGCUUAGGCAUAAUAUUAACAAACUAUGUGAAAAACCUGUCCUGAAAAUUUCAAAACGCUGCUGAGAGAAAUUAGAGAGCAAAAUAAAU